rnacentral:antisense_RNA from 1 species
CUCUAUGGUGGGCUGGAUGGGGGAGCCGAAAGGCUCGCCGGCGGUUACUCCGGUAAGGUCAACCUCGUCCAGUCCACCACCCAA